GGUGAGAUGGCCGAGCGGUCUAAGGCGCCAGACUAAGGAUCAGCUUCUACUGAAGCUAAACUUGGAGAUCAUCCUCCAAUCUGGUCCUCCGGGGCGUGGGUUCGAAUCCCACUCUCAUCA